GUCGAGCGGAAACGAAGAGGUGCUUGCACCUCUGGCGUCGAGCGGCGGACGGGUGAGUAAUGCUUGGGAAUAUGCCUUAUGGUGGGGGACAACAGUUGGAAACGACUGCUAAUACCGCAUGAUGUCUACGGACCAAAGUGGGGGACCUUCGGGCCUCACGCCAUAAGAUUAGCCCAAGUGGGAUUAGCUAGUUGGUGAGGUAAUGGCUCACCAAGGCGACGAUCCCUAGCUGGUUUGAGAGGAUGAUCAGCCACACUGGGACUGAGACACGGCCCAGACUCCUACGGGAGGCAGCAGUGGGGAAUAUUGCACAAUGGGCGCAAGCCUGAUGCAGCCAUGCCGCGUGUGUGAAGAAGGCCUUCGGGUUGUAAAGCACUUUCAGUAAGGAGGAAAGGUUAAGUGUUAAUAGCACUUAGCUGUGA
rnacentral:rRNA from 1 species